rnacentral:rRNA from 1 species
UCAGAUUGAACGCUGGCGGCAGGCCUAACACAUGCAAGUCGAACGGUAACAGGAAGUGCUUGCACUUCGCUGACGAGUGGCGGACGGGUGAGUAAUGCUUGGGAACUUGCCUUUGCGAGGGGGAUAACAGUUGGAAACGACUGCUAAUACCGCAUAAUGUCUACGGACCAAACGGGGCUUUUAGCUCCGGCGCAAAGAGAGGCCCAAGUGAGAUUAGCUAGUUGG